AUGAAGAAGAUCAAGAGUGGAAAAGAGCUAGUGGAAGAAGUAAGGAAGAUUGAGAAGAACAUCAAAGCUGGUAGCACUAUUUCUUCACAGCUUGAGCUGAGCAAUUCUGGGAUUCCCCUUUAUACAUGUGAGGUUCCAAUACCAUCACAUCCAGCUGAGCAAGAUAGCAAGUGCUUUGAGCAAGAGAUACCUCACAUUGAAGAAGAUGAACUAGAAGACAAGGAACAAGAUGAUCAAGAGCUGCAAUUCCCAAGUAAUCAAGUUGAAGACUCAUCAUCUACUACUCCUGAAGAAGUAAAAAAGCUGCUGUAG
rnacentral:rRNA from 1 species